rnacentral:rRNA from 1 species
UACGGAGGGUGCAAGCGUUGCUCGGAAUUAUUGGGCGUAAAGAGCUUGUAGGCGGUUUGUCGCGUCUGCCGUGAAAAUCCGGGGCUCAACCCCGGACUUGCGGUGGGUACGGGCAGACUAGAGUGUGGUAGGGGAGACUGGAAUUCCUGGUGUAGCGGUGAAAUGCGCAGAUAUCGGGAGGAACACCAGCGGCGAAGGCGGCACUCUGGGCUGGUACUGACGCUGAGGAGCGAAAGCGUGGGUAGCAAACAGG